AAAAGAAACCAACAGGGAUUGCCUCAGUAACGGCGAGUGAAGCGGCAACAGCUCAAAUUUGAAAGCUGGCUCUCGGGCCCGCAUUGUAAUUUGCAGAGGAUGCUUCUGGCGACGCGCCUUCCGAGUUCCCUGGAACGGGACGCCAUAGAGGGUGAGAGCCCCGUCCGGUCGUGCGCCUAGCCUCUGUGAAGCUCCUUCGACGAGUCGAGUAGUUUGGGAAUGCUGCUCAAAAUGGGAGGUAUACGUCUUCUAAAGCUAAAUAUUGGCCAGAGACCGAUAGCGCACAAGUAGAGUGAUCGAAAGAUGAAAAGCACUUUGAAAAGAGAGUUAAAAAGUACGUGAAAUUGUUGAAAGGGAAGCGCUUAUGACCAGACUUGGGCUGGCCCGAUCAUCCGGCGUUCUCGCCGGUGCACUCGGGCCGCUCAGGCCAGCAUCAGCUUGCGCCGGGGGAUAAAGGCGGCGGGAAUGUGGCUCCUCCGGGAGUGUUAUAGCCCGCCGCGCAAUACCCUGGUGCGGGCUGAGGUUCGCGCAUCUGCACGGAUGCUGGCGUAAUGGUCAUCAGCGACCCGUCUU
rnacentral:rRNA from 1 species